ACCGUUCUGCUUAGCCGCUGUUUUUUAUUCCUGGUGAAUAAGGGGAGUGAGGAGCCGGGAUCAAGCCGGAGUGUGAGCGGUGGAACGGAGUCAACGGGUGAGGGAAGGAACGGGAAACACGGCGGAAACUGGAGAACCAGAGAGGAGAGAGGAACUGGUGGAAAAGAAGAUAAAUCGCGACAGUUGCCAACCUAAGAAGUUUGAUUAUGUUGGCUCAGCCGAGGCUACGCUCGGUUAGAUUUGUAUUAAGCUCGCGCCCGCCCCACCGUCGACGGGAAUAUGCUUUAUAAGCGUAUCGUGGCGUGCUCGAGCGCUUCGAAAUCUUAGAUGGUCGAAAACAGGGGAAGCGAAACGUGGUUAUUAAAAUCCAGAAAGAAUGGGAAAAUAGCAGAGAGAUAUGAGGUCGUUUUUUUUUUCCCUCAUCAAAAAUCCGUGGAAUAUCGUUUUUGUUAGGGAAGAUUACGUUACAAGAUAAUUCAAAACAUUUGUUACUAGUUACACAUGGUUGUCGCGUGGGUGGUGUAGGUGUUUAGUCUGGGGAAUGUUUAGAUCCCUUCCAUGGUUUCACUCUGUGAAGUGGAGUUUAUGCGUAAACGAUAGGGUCUUGACAGAUCGUCUAUUCUUGGUAUACGAAAGUGUGAACACUUGAAAGCACUUCCCGUUUCUAAGAUACGUGUUCUUAAGAUUAUA